rnacentral:rRNA from 1 species
CCUACGGGAUGCAGCAGUGGGGAAUAUUGCACAAUGGGGGAAACCCUGAUGCCUCCACGCCGCGUGAGUGAAGAAGUCAUUCGUGAUGUAAAGCUCUAUCAGCAGGGAAGAAAAUGACGUUACCUGACUAAGAAGCCCCGGCUAACUACGUGCCAGCAGCCGAGGUAAGACGGCGGGGGCAAGCGUUAUCCGGAUUUACUGGGUGUAACGGGAGCGUAGACGGCGCCGCAAGUCUGAAGUGAAAUGCCAGUGCUAAACAAUGGAACUGCUUUGGAAACUGUGUGGCUAGAGUGCAGGAGAGGUAAGUGGAAUUCCUAGUGUAGCGGUGAAAUGCGUAGAUAUUAGGAGGAACACCAGUGGCGAAGGCGGCUUACUGGACUGUAACUGACGUUGAGGCUCGAAGGCGUGGGGAGCAAACAGGAUUAGAUACCCCUGUAGUC